rnacentral:rRNA from 1 species
AAGGGCACCACAAGAACGCGUGGAGCAUGUGGCUUAAUUUGACUCAACGCGGGAAAUCUUACCGGGUCCGGACACACUGAGGAUUGACAGGCAAUAUUAUAAUUUUUUAAUUGAAAUAAAUUUUUAUUAAUUUAUUUUUUUUAUUUUUUAUAUGUUAAAUAUGCUAGUCCUUUCAUGAUUAUGUGAUAGGUGGUGCAUGGCCGUUCUUAGUUCGUGGAGUGAUCUGUCUGCUUAAUUGCGUUUCACUAUUGGGCUUAUAUAAUUACGUAUGUUGUUAACGCUUUGACCCCUUUCUACGGAUUGUGCGUGUCUUUGUCUCGUUUAACUCAUACAAUUAAGCCCUGAAAGCAACGAACGUGACCGCAACCUCUUGUUGCUCUCAUAUUACCUUAUACUGCAUAAUAUUUGAAUAAUUUAUUUUAUUUUUUUUUAUGUUUAAGAGAGCUUUCUAAACUAGAGGGACCGCUGUUACUUUCUUAAACCAGAGGAAGGUUGCGGCAAUAACAGGUCUGUGAUGCCCUUAGAUGUUCCGGGCUGCACACGUGCUACAAUGAUUAUUGCAGUGAGCAUCUCAUUUUUUACACAUCGCAUGCGCGAGUCCAUUUAUUCAGAUAUCUUUCAUUUACUUUCGGGUGAAUGUGGUGUUUGCUUUAAAUGUGUAUCUCUGCGUGCGAUAAAGCCUGCUUCGAAAGUAAGUGGGUAAUCAAUUAGAAGUAAUGAUUUCCUUUUUUUUUCUGCACACAUAUAUAUGGCACUUAUACCCGGGUAACCUUGUUGUUACUUUUGUGCGUAUACGUGAUAAUCUUUACCGAUUAUACUACCAUAUGUGCAAUUGUCAAUUCAUGGUGGGGACAGACCAUUGUUAAUUGUUGGUCUCGGUCUUAACUAGGAAUGCCUUGUACGGAUCUUUGGUUCAACAAACCAUCCGGAAUACGUCCCUGCCCUUUGUACACACCGCCCGUC